UGUGCGUUUCUCUGGGGAAGAGU
rnacentral:piRNA from 1 species